UAUAUACCUAAUAGAACAAGCAAGACAAGGAGCAAACUGUUGGAAACGGUCCACCAUACAUUUAAAAUAUUCUCUAGGCGUCACUAAAGUUCGCAGCCCCAGGCCCUCAGCUAUAAACUAUGCUUAAAAAGUACCAAACAACUUGAUUGGCUCACCUGCUCUGGAAACAGAGCACGUUAUAAGACAAUUUUCAAGCAAUAAUUGCGCUCUUGCAUGGCGGCCAGACAUGAUAGCCGCCUUACAAAAGACAUUGUGGAUAGAGAGAAAUGGUUUCUUUAUUAUUUGAGAUGGUUCUAAUGUUCUAAGAGCUUGGGAGCCGGGAGGCACAUGGUUGGCCAUUCCAUAUCCGGAGGAAAAGGAGACAAUGAACCGGUAAACAGCAGCCUCAAAGGUUCAUAGUUUUAAAUUUUGAAGCAGCAGACCAAAAUUGACGGCCAAAGCAUGUGCUCUCG